rnacentral:rRNA from 1 species
GACGGAGGAUGCAAGUGUUAUCCGGAAUCACUGGGCGUAAAGCGUCUGUAGGUGGUCAAAUAAGUCAACUGUUAAAUCUUGAGGCUCAACCUCAAAAUCGCAGUCGAAACUAUUAGACUAGAGUAUAGUAGGGGUAAAGGGAAUUUCCAGUGGAGCGGUGAAAUGCGUAGAGAUUGGAAAGAACACCGAUGGCGAAGGCACUUUACUGGGCUAU